UACGUAGGGUGCGAGCGUUGUCCGGAAUUAUUGGGCGUAAAGAGCUUGUAGGUGGCUCGUUGCGUCGGGAGUGAAAACCUGCGGCUUAACCGCAGGCCUGCUUCCGAUACGGGCGAGCUAGAGUUCGGCAGGGGAGACUGGAAUUCCUGGUGUAGCGGUGGAAUGCGCAGAUAUCAGGAGGAACACCGGUGGCGAAGGCGGGUCUCUGGGGCCGAUACUGACACUGAGAAGCGAAAGCGUGGGGAGCGAACAGG
rnacentral:rRNA from 1 species